UUGGACGUCUGUCGUCUCACGACUCGUCUGAAAUGCAUGAGUUGUACCCUGCCUUGCAGCGUAUCCAGUGUGAUAAGCAUCUUCACUGUAACCGACCCCUUUGGGCGACGCCUCAGUCAACAGCUGUACGCUUCCAAUCGUCCUAUGUAUGGACAACAUCUUGACAAUUUGACCUCAAAUCGGGUGGGACUACCCGCUGAACUUAAGCAUAUCAAUAAGCGGAGGAAAAGAAACUAACAAGGAUUCCCCUAGUAACGGCGAGUGAAGAGGGAAAAGCUCAAAUUUUGAAUCUGGCGUCUUUGACUCCCGAGUUGUAAUCUAGAGAAGUGUUUUCCGCAUUGGACCGUGUACAAGUCCCCUGGAACGGGGCGUCAUAGAGGGUGAGAAUCCCGUAUAUGCCACGGACUACCAGCGCUUUGUGAUACACUCUCAACGAGUCGAGUUGUUUGGGAAUGCAGCUCAAAAUGGGUGGUAAAUUCCAUCUAAAGCUAAAUACUGGCGAGAGACCGAUAGCGAACAAGUACCGUGAGGGAAAGAUGAAAAGCACUUUGGAAAGAGAGUGAAACAGUACGUGAAAUUGUUGAAAGGGAAGCGUUUGAAGUCAGUCACAUUUGUCGGAAUUCAGUCUUGCUUCUGCUUGAUGUACUUUCCGGUCAAUGGGUCAGCAUCAAUUUUGAUCGAGGGAAAAAGGUUUGGGGAAUGUGGCUGUUUCGGCAGUGUUAUAGCCCCUUGCUGUAUGUCUCGGUUGGGAUUGAGGAACGCAGCGCGCCUUUCGGCCGGGGUUCGCGCCCUCGGUACGCGCUUA
rnacentral:rRNA from 1 species